UGGGGAAUAUUGGACAAUGGGCGAAAGCCUGAUCCAGCCAUGCCGCGUGUGUGAAGAAGGUCUUCCGAUUGUCAACCACUUAAAGUUUGGAGGAAAGGGUGUAGAUUAAUACUCUGCAAUUUUGACGUUACCGACAGAAUAAGCACCGGCUAACUCUGUG
rnacentral:rRNA from 1 species